CAUUUCACUCGUUCGAUCUAGCAGUAUCGACGUGAAGGACUCGUUAACUUGCCACGAUCGCAUGACAACCGAAAGCCAUAAUUCAUCAUUUAAACAGAAAAUGUGCGUUUCUGCAAAAAUGUAAGUUAUUGUGCUUACCAGGGUAGUGCAAGCACGGAAGGCGCAGUCGUGCACCGUAGUAGUCAGGAAGGGGCGUCCCUCGGUUCCGUUUGGCUCCCAAGUUAAUGGGCAAACUGGGCUUUGCUACCGGCCCCAUAUAAAUUAUUUUAAAUAAUUUACGAUCACUGUCAAACUUGAUCAAAGGUACAACACAAAUUUGUAUGAAAGUCAAACAAUAUGACAGAAUAUUAUUUUCUGACAAGGCCGUUUUUUUAACUAGGUUUUGAGCAUUUCUUUAUGCGUGUUUACCAUAUUAUCCGAACUAGUGUUGUAUGCAUGAUGUGGGAGUGUCUUUUCUGCAGGCUGCCAAAGACGCGCUUUUGGGGGAUUUGAAUUGACCUUUCUCGGCUACCGUACAUUUCCGCUUCGGUGAGCAGGUAGCUCUUCAGGUUGUUACCUUUUGGGCUUUCGAAUGAGUCAUGUCAACUUUUUCGAAGCUCUCGAUUUGCUGUAUGUAUGUAUAUGCAUACAUGUAAACAAUGACAUGAAAGGAGAAUCAUUGUUAGUCGUUACGUCAUUGGAAACUCUCUUGUUCUCGUGAAACCGGAGGUGGAGCUUUAGCUAGCACGCCCACAAGCAGCACUCACUCGGCUGUCAAUCUAUGGGUCAACAACGAAAACGUUUGACUUCAAUAUUGUUUUUCUAUGUUUUUCCAUGUCCAACUUGAAGACUGGAGGCUCCACGUCGGCUGCUGGUCGUCUAUCUGCAUAUCUCAAAAGGCUGCCAAAGACGCGCUUUUUGGAGAUUUGAAUUGACCUUUCUCGGCUACCGUACACUUCCGCUUCGACUGGAGGCUCCACGUCGGCUGCUGGUCGUCUAUCUGCAUAUUUCGAAAGAGUAAACAAUCACAACAAAGUAACAAGUUGAAUGGCAGUCUGCUUGUCGGCCGGUGGGACGAGUGGUCGGCCGGUGGGACGAGUGGUCGGCCGGUGGGACGAGUGGUCGGCCGGUGGGACGAGUGGUCGGCCGGUGGGACGAGUGGUCGGCCGGUGGGACGAGUGGUCGGCCGGUGGGACGAGUGGUCGGCCGGUGGGACGAGUGGUCGGCCGGUGCGACGAGUGGUCGGCCGGUGCGACGAGUGGUCGGCCGGUGGGACGAGUGGUACGCCAUGCGUGGACCUGAGACAAAAAGAAUUUGCGGGGGCUCUUCAGGCAGCACAGAUCCAGAUGAACGAGGUCAGAGGCUGAAGACAAAUUGUGGCAGGCUUUUCACUUUCUGGACCUGGAUUUGCCACCUCUGCCUGGAAAGAAAAAGGAACACUGAUUGACACAAGGACUGCAUUUAAGUUUACUGCUUUUGUUUUUUACUGUAGAGUGGAAGCAGAGAGUUGCUGUUUCACAGGCAGAGUUCCUGAAAUGUAAAAAUUCUCCAGGAUGGAUACCUGCACACAACACAAACCAAUCAAGCUGCCAUUUAGUAUAUUUUAUUUGUGUGUCAACUCUGAAAAUGGAGACAACCUGGAAGUACCUCUGCAUGGCUUUACAGGGCUUUUAUCUUUGGCCAGUAGGUAGCGGAUGUCCCAACUGCAUCUUUACUGGAAAGUGUUCUGCAGGAAGAGGGAGGCAUAAAAAGCAAAGCAGAUCUUCACCAUGCUACAGAAGCUAGGUCCUUUGGCACCACCUAGUGGAUUAAAGACAAAGAACAUGCUAAAAUGUUUGACAUGUGUCAAACAUUUGGACACGUGCGUGUUUCACCAGUGAUGAAUGGAGGGCAGCACCGGACGUCUCUCCAACUACAGCUCGCUGGUCUGAAAGACAAGUCAGCCUGUUCCCUCGGUGCCAGAUGCAGGCCUGCCUGGGGACAGAAAUGAGAAGACUAUUAACGCAGUGGAUUGAAAGAGUUGACUUUAAAACUCACAAAGUCAGUCGGCCAUGACGGGCUCGUUUUGAGGGUUUGCACCUGCAGACAGAAAGUCGAAUAUUAACACGAAUUCAUCGAAAUACCUGUUUCAGUAAUUCUCUGGUGGAUUCAUGCAAAUGCUGCUAUGUCUACUUACCUUCGGCCAAACGGCGCUGUCGUCCAGACGUUGCUAAAUGUUUGUGCAAAAAUAGGGUUAGUCAUCUUUCCACACGGUGCGUGCCUCAGUUUGCAAAAUGUGCAUGUACUCACCCACCGUUGAAUGCUUCAAUUGUUUAGUUGCACGCCAGAUAAAUGCUUUUUGGUGGUUGUCGGAGAUGUUAACUGCUAACGCUAGCUUCUGCAAACUUUUGAGCUUGCAAGAUGGAAGCACGCCCAAAGUGCAACUAGACGCUGAAAGAGAGCAAAAGUAGUUAGUUUCAAAAGGUCUAACAAAAGUUGAACACCCACCUUGUCACUUUUACACGCUGUUGUACGGCCGGCGCAGCAGGUGGACCAGAGCAACGUGGCUCUCGCUGUCAGUGGUGAGUGUCAGAAUGAGCGUCGCGUUCAUGACGCCUUUUAUACUCUUUUUGUGAUGACGUCAUUAGAAGAAGAAAAAAAAGAAAAAAAAAAACCUUUCAAACAGGCCCUAAUGCGAGAGAAAAACUGCCAAGACAAAUCUCUGGAGGGUUCGGGCCUCGAACCAGCACUGCAAAGUUCGGAGGCAAUGGUGUUAUCCCCUCGACCAUUGUAGCCUGGAUGUUGACAAAAGAAUUUUGUCUAUUGUUCCAGAUCAUGAAGAUAUCUGCAAUAAAGGUUCAGAAUAACCUUCAAUUACAAGUACUUGACCGUCGAAUGUAAGAUCUCGAAUGGCCGAGUGGUUAUAGCUUUUCCCUGGAGUUUGGGAGAGGCGGGUUCGAUUCUUAUGUAUCGCUCUAUUUAAUUUGCAAAAGCUGCAAAGAGCAGGUCUCGAACCCGAGGCUGCUGGACACCAACCCAUGUCGUGAACCAUUCUGCCAUUUUAGCGUUGAAAUUUUCUAAGUUUAUUUACGUAUUUAUAGCAUAUGACUCACGUAUUGGAUAAAAUUACCAAAUCACCAAAAUUUUGCAGAACACCAACUGGUGUAAUGGUUAACGCUUUUGCCUUCUGUUCGGGAGAACCGAGUUCGAGUCUCACACUACGCAAACUUUAGCUCAAAGUCCGCUUCGUGUGGGGCUCGAACCAUAGUCUCCCGAACACCGGGUAAAGUUAAAAACCAUUAUGCCAUUUUGCCAGCGAAACCCGGCACCUUUUUUUUGGAAGUGUACUGAAGAAUUUCCACUUGUUCAAUGCUUACCAUUGCUGCUACCAUUUACUCAAUGGUGUAGUAGGAAAAGCCUUUGCCUUGUGCGCAGGAGAACAUGAUUCGAGUCUUAUGCUAUGCAAACUUUAGCUCAAAGUCCGCUUCGUGUGGGGCUCGAACCAUGGUCUCCCGAACACCGGGUAAAGUUAUAAACCAUUCUCCCACUUUGGCGGGGAAAUCCCGCUGUUUUUUAUUUAAUAGUGUAUUAUACAUAGAGGACGCCUGGUCAAAAGGAAAAAAAUGGAAAUGGACAUGUUCAUUUUACGCUGGGUUACAUACAAGUGAAUGGGGGCACUGCCAUCUUGCGGUAGCUUGCCGUCAUUACAUGAACCGCUUCAUAAACUAGAGUCAAAAGCCUAUAUGUUUAAUAUCGUACGACGUACGUAUUUAUUUAAUUCUGCUUAUGUGAUGAUAUUUUAAAUGUACAAUUAAAUACUCAUAUGUUUAAGUUCAAAUAACCAUAUUGUAACUGAACUAAAAUGAUAUUGUCAUUAAAGAAAGAGCAAUGAUGAAAUGGAAA